GAGAAUAGCAUCAAAAAGAAACAUUACUCGAGCCUCUCUCUCAUUCUGAAGAAUCAAUUCACUAAGAUGCUCACCGGAAUUCACUAUGAUGCACACCGAUCCACACGAAACCUCACAAAUCCCUUCCGCUAAAUUUGAGUUCAUCAAUUGUUUUUAUAAAUCCUAAACCAUCGAUCCGCAUCGCAGCUUUGAAGGUCAUAAUCGUCAGUUCUAAAUCGCUUGCGAAAAUUGGGACGGGAAUGUAGUGAAGCACAUGUUCAGAAGCAUCAAUAAUUAAGCAAGAAUUCGAAACACACAUACCAAUGAGAAUCCGGCGCGGUGGUUCUUCUGCUCCGGCUCCGGUGACGACUUCACAGGUGAUGUAUGAACAGGAAAGUCAAAUGGCAAAUGAUGUCAUUAGUAGCAUCAGAAAUGUUGCAUCAUUGCGCAACAGCAUGAACCAUUGACCGAAUUUUAGUAGUUGCAGACUGUCCGAUAGCAUUCAAUCCAUUGUCAAAAAAAUCAUUACUCGUCGGAGUCAACCGACAUUAGCAUGCGCGGAGCUCUCACUUGCAACUUCCGGAGAAGCAGCCUGCUGGUUUGAAAUAGGGACAGAGGAUGACUGAGCACCAAUUCUAGUAAUGCUUUCCUUUGGUCUAUGUUGUUGUUCAAAUUCGAUCACCAUCCAAAAGAAACACCGACAACGAGAUACUAAUUGCUGAAGUUGGAGCAUGAACAACUGAAUUUCCUCUACUAAAGUGUGGUGCAAUAGCCUCAUGCCUGGGAGCCCCUCUAUAAUGCAGGCUUCAUUGGUAAGAUGAGUCCGUUGAAGUUGAAGCUGAAGCACCAAAGUCAUUCAAUUGAGAGUACACGGUGCUAUGAUGGAGUUGCUUUGAACAAGGAUAAUGUAUUAAGAAAGCUUGUUAUUCAAAUUAGUACUUUGUAGUCUUUUUAAGAAUUUGUGUUGUAACUUAGUCCCUUGUACUCCUUAAAAACAAAAUCAAAACCAAAACCUUUUGGACAA